rnacentral:rRNA from 1 species
GAUGAACGCUAGCGGCAGGCUUAACACAUGCAAGUCGAGGGGUAGAGGUUGCUUGCAACCUUGAGACCGGCGCACGGGUGCGUAACGCGUAUGCAACCUACCUUUUACAGAGGGAUAGCCCAGAGAAAUUUGGAUUAAUACCUCAUAGUAUAUGUCUUUCGCAUGUUAGAUAUAUUAAAGUUCCAACGGUAAAAGAUGGGCAUGCGUCCUAUUAGCUAGAUGGUAAGGUAACGGCUUACCAUGGCAACGAUAGGUAGGGGUCCUGAGAGGGAGAUCCCCCACACUGGGACUGAGACACGGACCAGACUCCGACGGGAGGCAGCAGUGAGGAAUAUUGGACAAUGGGCGCAAGCCUGAUCCAGCCAUGCCGCGUGCAGGAAGAAGCAUCUAUGGUGUGUAAACUGCUUUUGUACGGGAAGAAACACUCCUUCGUGAAGGAGCUUGACGGUACCGUAAGAAUAAGGAUCGGCUAACUCCGUGCCAGCCGCCGCCGUAAGAC